rnacentral:rRNA from 1 species
AACGAACGCUGGCGGCAUGCCUAACACAUGCAAGUCGAACGAGACCUUCGGGUCUAGUGGCGCACGGGUGCGUAACGCGUGGGAACCUGCCCUUAGGUUCGGAAUAACUCCCCGAAAGGGGUGCUAAUACCGGAUAAUGUCUUCGGACCAAAGAUUUAUCGCCUUUGGAUGGGCCCGCGUUGGAUUAGCUAGUUGGUAGGGUAAAAGCCUACCAAGGCGACGAUCCAUAGCUGGUCUGAGAGGAUGAUCAGCCACACUGGGACUGAGACACGGCCCAGACUCCUACGGGAGGCAGCAGUGGGGAAUAUUGGACAAUGGGGGAAAGGCUGAUCCAGCAAUGCCGGGUGAGUGAUGAAGGCCUUAGGGUUGUAAAGCUCUUUUACCCGGGAUGAUAAUGACAGUACCGGGAGAAUAAGCUCCGGCUAACUCCGUG